ACUGAGCGGCGGACGGGUGAGUAACGCGUGGGUAACCUGCCUCGUACAGGGGGAUAACAGUUGGAAACGGCUGCUAAUACCGCAUAAGCGCACAGUACCGCAUGGUACCGUGUGAAAAACUCCGGUGGUAUGAGAUGGACCCGCGUCUGAUUAGGUAGUUGGUGGGGUAACGGCCUACCAAGCCGACGAUCAGUAGCCGACCUGAGAGGGUGACCGGCCACAUUGGGACUGAGACACGGCCCAA
rnacentral:rRNA from 1 species